AAAGAAGAUAGAGGAGGAGUUCGACAAAGAACUCAUAAUGUUGAUCAAUCUCAGCAGCAGCAGCAGUAGCUUGCUUCUCAGAUUUCACAAACCAAAAAAGGUGGUUUCUUGGAAAAUUAUAGGAAAGAGAUCGGCUUUACCUUAACAUUAUCAUUUUCCUAUCUUUUAUAUUAUAUUGCUUCCCCGACUUUAAAGGUCCAAUAAUAGGAGCCUUCGUCACUAUUGCAAUAGGUGCGUUGAGUGGAUUGGUUAAUCAUUGCUUGAAAUCUAAUGUUCCUGGUUCUGCUGAUAUCAAAAUUGAGCCUUUAACAACAUUGACUCAAUCGACAUAAUUUCAUGAAAGGAACAAUAACUAUUAAUUUACAUUUUACUUGUAAUACCCUAAACUAGGAGUGUGACUUGUUUGUUUAAAAAAACUAAUUAAGCUAAAAA